rnacentral:rRNA from 1 species
GUAGGUGAACCUGCGGAAGGAUCAUUAAAGAGUAAGGGUGCUCAGCGCCCGACCUCCAACCCUUUGUUGUUAAAACUACCUUGUUGCUUUGGCGGGACCGCUCGGUCUCGAGCCGCUGGGGAUUCGUCCCAGGCGAGCGCCCGCCAGAGUUAAACCAAACUCUUGUUAUUUAACCGGUCGUCUGAGUUAAAAUUUUGAAUAAAUCAAAACUUUCAACAACGGAUCUCUUGGUUCUCGCAUCGAUGAAGAACGCAGCGAAAUGCGAUAAGUAAUGUGAAUUGCAGAAUUCAGUGAAUCAUCGAAUCUUUGAACGCACAUUGCGCCCCUUGGUAUUCCGAGGGGCAUGCCUGUUCGAGCGUCAUUACACCACUCAAGCUAUGCUUGGUAUUGGGUGCCGUCCUUAGUUGGGCGCGCCUUAAAGACCUCGGCGAGGCCUCACCGGCUUUAGGCGUAGUAGAAUUUAUUCGAACGUCUGUCAAAGGAGAGGACUUCUGCCGACUGAAACCUUUAUUUUUCUAGGUUGACCUCGGAUCAGGUAGGGAUACCCGCUGAACUUAAGCAUAUCAAUAAG